GACGAACGCUGGCGGCGUGCCUAAUACAUGCAAGUCGAACGCAGUGGGGACGGGUGAGUAACACGUGGGUAACCGCCCAUCAGAGGGGAUAACACUUGGAAACAGGCGCUAAACCGCUACUGGUGGAGGGACCCGCGGGGCAUUAGCUAGUUGGUGAGGUAACGGCUCACCAAGGCCACGAUGCAUAGCCGACCUGAGAGGGUGAUCGGCCACACUGGGACUGAGACACGGCCCAGACUCCUACGGGAGGCAGCAGUAGGGAAUAUUCGGCAAUGGACGAAAGUCUGACCGAGCAACGCCGCGUGAGUGAAGAAGGUUUUCGGAUCGUAAAGCUCUGUUGGUGGAGAAGCGGUAUCUAAACAGAAAGCCACGGCUAACUACGUGCCAGCAGCCGCGGUAAUAC
rnacentral:rRNA from 1 species